UAUCUCUGUAGAGUCUGCAUAUCAAUAAGCGGAGGAAAAGAAACUAACAAGGAUUCCCUUAGUAACGGCGAGUGAAGCGGGAAGAGCUCAAAUUUGAAAUCUUCAAGGAUUUUACCUUGACGAAUUGUAGUUUAAAGAAGUGUUUUCUGUUGAAGUUUCGGUAAAAGUUCUUUGGAAUAGGACAUCAUAGAGGGUGAGAAUCCCGUAUUUGACCGUUAUUUUCAGCUGUGUGAUACACUUUCAAAGAGUCGGAUUGUUUGGGAAUGCAGUCCAAAAUGGGUGGUAAAUUUCAUCUAAAGCUAAAUAUUGGCGAGAGACCGAUAGCGAACAAGUACCGUGAGGGAAAGAUGAAAAGAACUUUGAAAAGAGAGUUAAACAGUACGUGAAAUUGUCAAAAGGGAAGCGUUUGACACCAGUGUUGUUUUCUCGAAAAUCAAUUAAAAAUGGCUUGAUUUUGUGUUGUAUUGACCUUAAAAGCUUUCUUCACUUUUUUCAUGUCUUUUUUAAUGCACUUUUCGUUUAACAAGUCAACAUCAGUUUCUUUUGUUGUAAAAAGGUCAUUGGAAGGUGGCUUUCUUUUCGGAGAAAGUGUUUAUAGCCUUUGACUCCUGCAAUCGGAGAGACUGAGGUCUGCAGCGUAGAUCCUUUGGAUUAGAUUCAUUUGUGCUAAGUUAUAGCUUUUUAUAGACAACUUGUUGACUAUAUUUAGUCUUGUAACUUACUCGCUUAUGUAAUUUUACCUACGCUUAGGAUGUUGAACGCGCACAGAGUCUC
rnacentral:rRNA from 1 species